ensembl:processed_transcript B230216N24Rik RIKEN cDNA B230216N24 gene
UGCAUAUCAAAAAUAAGUGAAGGUAUUGGAGAGAAUGAACAUGCACAGCUUCCGGAAGACUAUUUGCACCCUAGGAAAGAGUAAGACCACAGGCCCUGGUAUAAGUGUGUACCAUCAAGGUCAGUAUGCCUAGGGCUGAGCAAGUGAGCUGAAAUUAAUCAAGAGAGGAGGUGAGUGGGUACCUGGAUGGAGUGCCUACCAUCAGUUAGCACUCCUUAUGAGAGUAGGAGACACCAGGGAGGAUUUGCCUGGGAGCAAUGGGGUCUGCUUUGCCAUUCACAAGGACCCACCUUGCCUGCAGCUUUGAUAAAAGAUGCUAAGAGGCCAAGAAUUCAAGUAUAGGGGCUACGGAAAUGAGCCUUGAUAGUUUUUAUGGGAGGUGUCAGGGACAGCAGAAUAGUGGGUCAGAAGUUGAGUAUACUUUGAGUCCAGCAUUGAAAUGUUUGCUGAAAGAUUGGGUAUAUGUAAGGAAGAGAGGGAACUAGAGGUAACUGGGAAUUCAUGCCUAGACAGGUUGCAAGGUAGAAUAUAUAGAAAGCAAAUGAUAUGUCCCAGUGUGAUAUUUACUGAUGGCUCAUGAUAAGGUGUAGAAUAAUUGAUUUCAUUGGCUUUAGUGGGAUUCUGAAGGUUUUAAAUGUCAGAGACUCUGCUUUGUCUCAUGUACUUUCUCCUAAUUGAAGUUUCUCUUCUCUCUCCCAGUGGAGAAACAUCUAUUAUUUUCUGAAGCAUUUAUUCUUUGCUGUGGUGGAUUAUAGCUGCCUCCUCGUUAUGUUGUUUAAUUGGACUAUUGGCUACAAUUAUAAACCUAUUGAGUCAUAUACAUUUACUUGUCUGGAGAAACGAGGCUUUAAUGUUGUAAUGUAACAGAGUAGAAUGGAUUGUAUUCUCCACAUUUAGUAAUUUAUUCUUAUCACUAACGUAUUAUGGAGAAAAUACGUUUUCUUUAAAAAAUAAUAGUCAUUUGUUGCAUUGAGAAAACAUGCUGAAGGACGAUGUGACUGUAGUCUGGUGAAAAUUUAAAAAUUUUAAAAGCAGGGAAGGGUGCGACUGGUCAUUACAGGGCCGUCAGUAAUUAAUCGGGCACAUUCUUUUUUUUCUUUUUUUUUAAAUUACGUAUUUUCCUCAAUUACAUUUCCAAUGCUAUCCCAAAAGUCCCCCACAACCUCCCACCCCACUCCCCUACCCACCAAUUCCCAUUUUUUGAUCUUUGCGUUCCCCUGUACUGGGGCAUAUAAAGUUUGCCUGUCCAAUGGGCCUCUCUUUCCAGUGAUGGCCGACUAGGCCAUCUUUUGAUACAUACGCAGCUAGAGUCAAGAGCUCCAGGGUACUGGUUAGUAUCAAUUCAAUCGGGCACAUUCAUACUCUCAAGGGCUGAGGAGGAGGCACUGAAGUGGGAGUCACUGUUCUGAACAGUCUAAAGUUUCAGUGACUUUAGAAUUAUAAUGGUGACUGGGAUCUUAUUUCUGAAAUUUUGUGGUUUUAGAAGAUUAAGUGUUUCGUUUAAUAUACUGAAUUGUUAAUCAUCCAUGAUUAUAAGAGUAUGAUAAUGCAAAUUGACUUCUGAACUCCAUGAUAUUAACACUGACGUCCAGUGGAGAUCAAGUCUUUAAUCAUUGCUAUGACAAAAUAGUGUAUGUCACCAGAGACACUGGGAAAUAAAAUUAAGGUAAGACAGUUACAUAACAUUAAUGGUGGUAGAUUCUCCAGACAAGAAACAACAAAUUAGAUGUUAAAGGGAUGGAUGAAUGCUGCAGAAGCACAUAAGGACCUGAGUUUUGUCCCUGAGCCCCUACAUAAAAAUCCACACACAGUGGUGCACCCUGCAAGCCAAGCCCUAGAGAAGUGGGGAGAGGAGAAAUUCUAGAGCUUGCUCCAUACCUAGUCUUGUUACAUAGGGAAGGUCCAGGUUCAAUGAAAGACUGUGCCCAAAAAAUACAGUCAUUGAGGAAGACAUCUGACAUUGACCUCUGGCCUCCACACCUCCAUGCACAUCUGCACAUUUACAUGUAUACACAUACACAUGCAUGUGCCACUUAUGUAUGUCCUCAAGGUAGAAAAUAACAACAUUUUAUAUGAUAAUAUAAGCUUUUCUGAUUAUGCAAUAAAAUAGUUUAGCCAAAUAAACACAACAAAUUAGAUUAAUUCAUUGAGUAAUUAUGAGACAACAUAUACUAAUUCUAUACAUAGUAUCAUUGAGAGCAGCUCAUUCUACUGCAUUUUGGCAUACUCAGAUCUUGAACCUUCUUCUCUGGUUCCUCCUUAUGUUUCCCAUCUCUGCCCACCUCUCCUGACUUCCCCAGGCCUCUGCCCACCUCUCCUGACUUCUCUAGGCCUCUAGUCUCCUGUCAUCAUUUUACAUUCUUGCAACCCGAUUUUCACAUAAAACUCCUCUGUAAAAUCCACCUGUAACUUUUCACCAGCUCUGGGGCAUUCUUUUUUCUAUCCUCAUGUCAGUCUUUGACCCAGGCAGUCACCGCUCUCAAGGAACAAGUGUCCAUGAAGAAGCAGCCUGAGCUGUUAGGCAUCUGCCUAUGCUCAAGACAUCCUCUGCCUAACUCUCUGUGAUCAGCACUCUUCUCUGGUGAACACAUCAGCGCCAUCUGCCUUCUGUCUGCCUGGAGAGACUUGCCACAGUAGAGCUUCCUCAGCCUCACAUGAACCGCUGCAAAGGAUGUGCGUUCCUUUUGCUGAAGCCGUCAAAUAAAAAAGCUUUUUCAUGAAAAGCUAAAUAGAAUACAUGAAGAUUUUCACGACAGUAGGCUUCCAGAUUAAUGAAAUAUUCAUUUAAAUUGGACUUGGAGGAUAUGUCACUUCUUUUCUUUGAUUAAAAUAUUUAGAGCAUAACACAAAAUCACUGUGUCUUGAAAAAGCAAAACUUCAAGGAAAUUCAGCUGAUGGGGCAUCUUGUUUUCAGUGAGGUUGUUAAAGAUGAUUUUUCUAACCAGGGUCAGGUGCUUGGAACCGUUAGGUGAAUGCUAGGUGUGGUGGCAGUCCUCUUGUGUGCUUAAGAGUUUAAGAGAUCGAACCCAAUAGAUAGUAAGCUUCUUUCAAAGAGAAUGCUAAUUUUAAUGUUUUUAUGACUUAAAUAGAUUGUAAUAAGUUAUUACUUCCUAAUUUAGAUGUUGGUAUGACGACUGGGCAGACGCAUGUUCUUGUUCCACAUCCACAUUGUAUGAAUGCAGAGUGUAGCCUGAGUGCUUAGAAAAGGGUACUUUUACGAGAUUGGAAGACUGGACAUCGUGACAUUAGGAGGAGGGAGGGGGUUACUGGGCUGUUCUAAAAUUAGCAAUGUGAAGAGCUGGUUCAAACUUAAUUGCCUAGGUGUGGAAGAAAUAUACUUGUAUUGUGUUUAAUAAUGUGAAUUAUCUGUAUCAUUAAAUAACAGGAAACCCGUUUGAGUUUCUUUUUCCUGUCCAAAUAAAUAAAUAAAUAAAUAAACAAAUAAAUAAAUAUAAUUAACACAGUGAAAAA